CCUACGGGUGGCAGCAGUAGGGAAUCUUCCACAAUGGGCGAAAGCCUGAUGGAGCAACGCCGCGUGGGUGAAGAAGGUCUUCGGAUCGUAAAACCCUGUUGUUAGAGAAGAAAGUGCGUGAGAGUAACUGUUCACGUCUCGACGGUAUCUAACCAGAAAGCCACGGCUAACUACGUGACAGCAGCCUCGGUAAUACGUAGGUGGCAAGCGUUAUCCGGAUUGAUUGGGCGUAAAGGGAACGCAGGGAGUCUUUUAAGUCUGAUGUGAAAGCCUUCGGCUUAACCGGAGUAGUGCAUUGGAAACGGGGAGACUUGAGUGCAGAAGCGGAGAGUGGAACUCCAUGUGUAGCGGUGAAAUGCGUAGAUAUAUGGAAGAACACCAGUGGCGAAAGCGGCUCUCUGGUCUGUAACUGACGCUGAGGUUCGAAAGCGUGGGUAGCAAACAGGAUUAGAUACCCUUGUAGUC
rnacentral:rRNA from 1 species